CUGUCAUAUGUUUUGUCCUUUCUUGCAGGUUUCUUCUUUUUCCCAUAUAUAAAUGUUGGAAUGCUUUUAAAAAUGGUGCUUUGCUUUUUUUUCUUCUCUUUGUAAAAUUCCCCUCUUGAUACUUUAUCUACAAAUAUGGUGUCAACGGUCAUCAAUAUAGGUAUCUCUUGUUAAAACCUAUUCUUUGCGUUAAUGACUUACAUAUCAAACAGCCAACUUGAGUCACGUUUUGGAUAUCUCAAAGAUACCUUAUACUCAUUAUGUCCAAAAUCUACUCUUGAUUUUCUACAAGAAAAAUGGUCUUCCUUUUAGUGUUCUCUAGCUUACUGAAUGACACUAACUUUCUUUAGAUUUUCCCAGCCAAAAAAUUUGAUAGUUAUCAUCAAUAACUCGUUCUUUUAUCAUACUAUAUAGCCCAUCAAUCAUCAGGUUUUUUUAAGUUAACAUCUUAACAAUGUCUCCAGUUUUCUCUUUUCUAAGCCAAGAAACUAUAAUCUCUCAAUGGAAUAAUGAAACAUUGUUCAAACACUUCCUUUCUUUAAAAAGUUAUUUACAUUGUAAUCAGGUUAAUUGUAGAUUUCAUCCUAUGUUUUAAAUUUUUCCUCUGGAUAUAUACAAUUUUAAUUGGUCAAUUAAAUGUUUUUUUGUU
rnacentral:lncRNA from 1 species